CAAUAGCGUAUAUUAAAGUUGUUGCGGUUAAAAAGCUCGUAGUUGGAUUUCUGUUGAGAACGUCCGGUCCGCACUAUGUGCGUGUAUCUGGUUCGGUCUUGGCAUCCUCUUGAGGAACGUAUCUGCGCUUGAUUGCGUGGAGCGGUAUUCAAGACUUUUACUUUGAGGAAAUUAGAGUGUUCACGGCAGGCAAGCGCCUUGAAUACGUUAGCAUGGAAUAAUAAUAUAGGAUCUUGGUUCUAUUUUGUUGGUUUCUAGGGCUAAGGUAAUGAUUAAUAGGGAUAAUUGGGGGCAUUUGUAUUAACGCGUCAGAGGUGGAAUUCUUGGAUUGCGUUACGACAAACUACUGCGAAAGCAUUUGCCAAGGAUGUUUUCAUUG
rnacentral:rRNA from 1 species